AAGGUAUUUUUGGGGCAAAUCUCCCAAGCAGCUGUAAAAGUGUAAUUUGUAGUUGUAAAGAAUAGCCACAAAUGUGUAUCAGUAAAUUUGUACUCGCAGAGCAAAUUUGCAAAUGUGUAUCAGUAAAUUUGUACUCGCAGAGCAAAUUUGCAAAUGUGUAUCAGUAAAUUUGUACUUGCAGAGCAAAUUUGCAAAUGUGUAGGUAUUUUUUGUCUCCAACAAACACAACGCAACAUUUACACCUGCACAAAUCCUUCAGUACAGGUGCACAAAUCCCAUCGGACGAAUCACAAAUGCAGAAACUCAUCUGCUCAUGUUCUUUGCUACUAUUGUUUCAGUGAAUAUGGUGCAAAACACAUUCACACACCUGCAUCCAGAAAUGUGAAGUCACAGACAAAACUUGCACAUCUGUAGAUUAGAAUGUGUAUCCGCACAAAGAUAGCUGAACGUGUGUAGAAUGUUUGAUUUAUUUUUUUCCAAGCACGAACACAAAUAUGUUCCUGCAACUGCUCAAAUCUGCCGCUACGAGUCUCAAGCGCUGUUUUUCACUUGCAAAUCUACGUUUCGCUCUCUCGCUCUUCUGCACCAAACAUCACUGUGACAUUUGGUGCAAAAGUGACUUGUGUAUCUGCCAACCAAAACGUGGGCUCUCAGAGAAAUUCAGCCAAUAGGGGAUGGGGCGUGACGUCACCGCUCUAGCGCUGCGGAGGCUGAACUUCGAAACCGAAACCCCCUUUGCGAGAUUCGCCGCAUCUAUACCUGAUUUGCGUUCAAAAAUACCUGCUUAAUUAUUUCAUAGUAGGAGCAAACAUGCCUUAAUAAAAGGAGCACAUUUGAAACUUUAGUAACCAUAAAAAGUACACCAAGUGGAUGCCUUUCUACUCCAGGAAGCCGCAGCAUACGGCCUGAAGGAGGAAGGACGCGGUCAGUUUGAAAUAGCUGUUGUGAUGGAGCUGAACCUGUAGACAAGGGAACUAACACAUUUGAGGUAAAAAGAAUCCAAAAUAAGAGAUUGGUGUGUGUGGUGAGGGUAAAGAAGUCCACAGCAGCAUCCUGGAAAUGCUGUAAUGCAGGGGUGCCCAAACUUAGUUCUGGACGGCUGGUGAAGUUUAAAGUCAACUUCAACUAAACUCUGCAAGACA